rfam:Schistosoma mansoni strain Puerto Rico chromosome W, complete genome
ACCAACUGAAGAGUCCCAAACAGGACGAAACACACGUCCUGGAU